AGGGAUCCUCCUAGCCGCCGCCGCCACUCUCUCCCGCAUCUUCCUCGGGAUCCCUCCCGAUCCACCUCCACCCAACCAGAUCGCUGCAGCCAUCCUCCUGCCCAAAUCCCCUCACAGCCAGCCUCCUCCCCUCGAUCCACCCAUCCAGCCCGCAACAGUGUCUCCCCUCGAUGGCUCCAUCGCUCAUGCUCGAGCCCCUCUGCCUCGAUCCACCAGGCGCCUAGCUCGCAGCAACCAACGCACAGGAGAGGAGCUGCUUGAUCCCCUUGACCCCGACCUCUGCGCCCCACGGCCUCCUCCCCGUCGCCUUGGAGCCCGAGUGUGCCACCACCUCCUAGCGCCGCUGCCGGCGACCUCGCCGUACCAGGCCACCCCGGCCAGCCUUCGGCCACCUGGAGCGCCAGGGCAUCUGCUUCAAACCUCUGCGCCACCCGGAGAUCGUCGACGCCGGCCAGAUCCGACGCCCUUGGGACCCGCGUCCCCGCCGGACCUCCUUCCUCUGCGCCAAGUCAGCCCACCAUGCCCCGUUUCGCCUCGACCUCGACCGAGGAGAACAAGCAGCACUGCUGCCUUCUUCAGUUCCGCUCGCACGCCACCUCGCCGGAGAACGUUGUCCUCGCCCGGAUCCCCGCGCCCUGCCAUCUUGUCCAUGCCGGCGAGUUCCUCCCGCGUCGUCGUCUUCUCUGCAUCAAGCCGCGCCGCCGUGCCAAGUCCCCUGCAUCGCGCCCAGCUGCCGGCGCUCGAACCUGCCUGCUUCCACGACCCGCGCUCGCCUCCAGAGGAAGAGUCAACGCACGAGCGUCUCGUGCGUGUUCCAGAUCCAGUGAACCGGCCCAGCCUCCCGAAGCCCAGCCGCUUCUUCGCUUCCAGCCCAGUGGCCCGAUCUUCGGUUUCAUUCCGGAGUUGUGAGGAUUCGUUCGACUUCAUCCAUUUGUCUUCUUCAUGGACUCGUUCUUCUUCCUAGCGGGAUCUCAGUUGCAGGUGCCGACGAUACCAGUGCAGGUGAUGCUACCAGACUCAAGUGGGAGUUCGACGAGGACCUUGGUCGUUACUAUGUUUCGUUUCCUGAUGAUCAGUAGUGGAGCCCAAUUGGGACGAUCGGGGAUCUAGCAUUUGGGGUUGUCUUCUUUUCUUUUGGUUCCGUAGUCGGACCUAUGUGUGUACUCUGAUUAAUGUAUGAUUUAUUUAUGUAUUGUGUGAAGUGGCGAUUGUAAGCCAACUCUUUAUCCCAU
rnacentral:rRNA from 1 species